CUCUCUUACCAGCAGCUAGGAUGGUAAUCAUGAUGACAGGCAUUGUUAGGUAAGACCCCUGGGGCUUACAGAGGAGAACUCAUGGAGGAGGAAGCAGACAACAGUCCAGUCAACAGAAGAGUAUCCCGAGAGUUCGAGAAUGUAGUGAUCAUCCUCACACGAUAAGAGAACUGAGGUACAGAGAGCAGCUCCAGAGGACAUGGCCUUUAUCACUUCUCCCCAUGCUCUGAAAGCCGGACGGUCUCAAACUUGCCCAAGCCAGUGGAGAGAGAAGCAAAGCCCAUUGGCAUCUUAGGACAACAGUCACUAGGCAGAACAUCUUGAAAAAUUUGUUCAAGUUCUUUCAAACCUCUUCCGGAUCCUCGUUAGCAAGCAAGAGCUGAGCUCCCGUCAACAGAGGCUUUUGAAAAACCGACAGACACAAGUGCUGAUCUGUGGGAAGUAUCUGAAGCAUGAUUUUCAUUUCAACAAAUUCAUGGGCAAGAGGAGGUUCUUGCCGCCACUGAAGGAGACCCCGCGACGGGCACCUCCCGGCUUUGGUCAUGUGUUGAUGACCAGCACCGGAGGGGUCCUUAGAGCAAAAUGAAGCUGCCCACCUCCCCAGUUUUUGAAGGACUAAAGCUCUUCAUGACUGAACUACCCCAGUUAUGUCCACCCUCCACCCCCCUCCUCAGAUGAGUUGUCAGCUUCUUGAGAAAUAGUGCUGUUAACCUGAAGUUAACAGGUAAGGGCAUCGCUGAAUAAAUCAAGAAGGCUUUCAGAAUGCAAAUACGUGCUGCCAGAAUUAAGGAGAGGGCUGAAAUGUAUCCUCCAGCUCUGAAGGGAAACCCCAAGCCCAGAUGGGUGAAAUGAGUUGUUCGAGAUUGACUAGACAAGAGAGAUGUUCCUGAGACCAGGACUGGAAAAAUUCAUUUUUGU